rnacentral:rRNA from 1 species
UGCAAGUCGAGCGGUAGAAGGAAGCUUGCUUCCUUUGAGAGCGGCGGACGGGUGAGUAAUGCCUAGGAAUCUGCCUGGUAGUGGGGGAUAACGUUCGGAAACGAACGCUAAUACCGCGUACGUCCUACGGGAGAAAGCAGGGGACCUUCGGGCCUUGCGCUAUCAGAUGAGCCUAGGUCGGAUUAGCUUGUUGGUGAGGUAAUGGCUCACCAAGGCAACGAUCCGUAACUGGUCUGAGAGGAUGAUCAGUCACACUGGAACUGAGACACGGUCCAGACUCCUACGGGAGGCAGCAGUGGGGAAUAUUGGACAAUGGGGGAAACCCUGAUCCAGCCAUGCCGCGUGUGUGAAGAAGGUCUUAGGAUUGUAAAGCACUUUAAGUUGGGAGGAAGGGUUGUAGCUUAAUACGCUGCAACUUUGACGUUACCGACAGAAUAAGCACCGGCUAACUCUGUGCCAGCAGCCGCGGUAAUACAGAGGGUGCAAGCGUUAAUCGGAAUUACUGGGCGUAAAGCGCGCGUAGGUGGCAAGGUAAGAUGGGUGUGAAAUCCCCGGGCUCAACCUGGGAACUGCAUCCAUAACUGCUUCGCUAGAGUACGGUAGAGGGUAGUGGAAUUUCCUGUGUAGCGGUGAAAUGCGUAGAUAUAGGAAGGAACACCAGUGGCGAAGGCGACUACCUGGACUGAUACUGACACUGAGGUGCGAAAGCGUGGGGAGCAAACAGGAUUAGAUACCCUGGUAGUCCACGCCGUAAACGAUGUCAACUAGCCGUUGGGAACCUUGAGUUCUUAGUGGCGCAGCUAACGCACUAAGUUGACCGCCUG